rnacentral:rRNA from 1 species
GACCUUCGGAGCCGUUACAGGUGCUGCAUGGCUGUCGUCAGCUCGUGCCGUGAGGUGUUCGGUUAAGUCCGGUAACGAGCGCAACCCUCGUCGCUAGUUACACGUUGUCUAGCGAGACUGCCCGUGAUAAGCGGGAGGAAGUGGGGAUGACGUCAAGUCAGCAUGGCCUUGAUGCCCAGGGCUACACACACGCUACAAUGGCCGGUACAAUGGGUCGCCAACCCGCAAGGGGAGCCAAUCCAGCAAAGCCGGUCUCAGUUCGGAUUGCAGGCUGCAACCCGCCUGCAUGAAGUCGGAGUUGCUAGUAACCGCGCGUCAGCAUACUGCGGUGAAUACGUUCCCGGGUCUU